rnacentral:rRNA from 1 species
GCUACAGGCUUAACACAUGCAAGUCGAGGGGCAGCAUGGUCUUAGCUUGCUAAGGCCGAUGGCGACCGGCGCACGGGUGAGUAACACGUAUCCAACCUGCCGUCUACUCUUGGACAGCCUUCUGAAAGGAAGAUUAAUACAAGAUGGCAUCAUGAGUCCGCAUGUUCACAUGAUUAAAGGUAUUCCGGUAGACGAUGGGGAUGCGUUCCAUUAGAUAGUAGGCGGGGUAACGGCCCACCUAGUCUUCGAUGGAUAGGGGUUCUGAGAGGAAGGUCCCCCACAUUGGAACUGAGACACGGUCCAAACUCCUACGGGAGGCAGCAGUGAGGAAUAUUGGUCAAUGGGCGCAGGCCUGAACCAGCCAAGUAGCGUGAAGGAUGACUGCCCUAUGGGUUGUAAACUUCUUUUAUAAAGGAAUAAAGUCGGGUAUGGAUACCCGUUUGCAUGUACUUUAUGAAUAAGGAUCGGCUAACUCCGUGCCAGCAGCCGCGGUAAUACGGAGGAUCCGAGCGUUAUCCGGAUUUAUUGGGUUUAAAGGGAGCGUAGAUGGAUGUUUAAGUCAGUUGUGAAAGUUUGCAGCUCAACCGUAAAAUUGCAGUUGAUACUGGAUAUCUUGAGUGCAGUUGAGGCAGGCGGAAUUCGUGGUGUAGCGGUGAAAUGCUUAGAUAUCACGAAGAACUCCGAUUGCGAAGGCAGCCUGCUAAGCUGCAACUGACAUUGAGGCUCGAAAGUGUGGGUAUCAAACAGGAUUAGAUACCCUGGUAGUCCACACGGUAAACGAUGAAUACUCGCUGUUUGCGAUAUACAGCAAGCGGCCAAGCGAAAGCGUUAAGUAUUCCACCUGGGGAGUACGCCGGCAACGGUGAAACUCAAAGGAAUUGACGGGGGCCCGCACAAGCGGAGGAACAUGUGGUUUAAUUCGAUGAUACGCGAGGAACCUUACCCGGGCUUAAAUUGCAGAUGAAUUACGGUGAAAGCCGUAAGCCGCAAGGCAUCUGUGAAGGUGCUGCAUGGUUGUCGUCAGCUCGUGCCGUGAGGUGUCGGCUUAAGUGCCAUAACGAGCGCAACCCUUGUUGUCAGUUACUAACAGGUUCCGCUGAGGACUCUGACAAGACUGCCAUCGUAAGAUGUGAGGAAGGUGGGGAUGACGUCAAAUCAGCACGGCCCUUACGUCCGGGGCUACACACGUGUUACAAUGGGGGGUACAGAGGGCCGCUACCACGCGAGUGGAUGCCAAUCCCCAAAACCUCUCUCAGUUCGGACUGGAGUCUGCAACCCGACUCCACGAAGCUGGAUUCGCUAGUAAUCGCGCAUCAGCCACGGCGCGGUGAAUACGUUCCCGGGCCUUGUACACACCGCCCGUCAAGCCAUGGGAGCCGGGGGUACCUGAAGUGCGUAACCGCGAGGAGCGCCCUAGGGUAAAACUGGUGACUGGGGCU